UACGAAGGGGGCUAGCGUUGCUCGGAAUCACUGGGCGUAAAGGGUGCGUAGGCGGGUCUUUAAGUCAGGGGUGAAAUCCUGGAGCUCAACUCCAGAACUGCCUUUGAUACUGGGGAUCUCGAGUCCGGGAGAGGUGAGUGGAACUGCGAGUGUAGAGGUGAAAUUCGUAGAUAUUCGCAAGAACACCAGUGGCGAAGGCGGCUCACUGGCCCGGAACUGACGCUGAGGCGCGAAGGCGUGGGGAGCGAACGGG
rnacentral:rRNA from 1 species